GAGUAUUUUAUUGGUGUUAAGCAAAUGGUGUUAUUUGUAAACAAAGAGUCUCUCGUUAUUACAUUGAUUUUUGGGAACUAACAGACUUUAUGGAUUAGUUGUGCAGUCUUGUUUUGGCAAUGUUUAAGGUUGGAACAACUUUCAUUGCCGGUUUUGAUGGUUCUUCAGAAGUUCACGCAGUUCAUGUUAAAGUUUAAAAACCUUUUGUUUCUCAAAAAUGAUUAAAUGUAAAAAGUGUCGAAAAAACUUAAUCAGAUUUGACAAGAUAGUCAACAGCCACGGUGAUCAACCAACGAGUUUCAAUCAAUCAUGCAAUGUGGACAAUUGGUAUGUGAAAGACGAUUUUCUCGACUCUGUUCCAUGGAUAAAAACUCAAAUAGACUCAUCUGGUUGGACAAAAGGUAAACUCAUUUGUCCACAUAAAUGUGGAGCGAGAUUAGGUUCUUUCAACUUCAUUGAAGGUCUUCGAUGCAAUUGUACAAAAUUCAUCGUACCAUCUGCUCAUUUCAUCAAAAAACGUGUUGAUUGGGAUAAAAACUAUUUCUCAAAAUUUCAUCCUGAUCGAUCAAAUUGAAAAGGUUGACUCCAAAAGAAAGCAAAAUUAGCUGUUCAUGAUUCACGGCUUCUUUCAAUUCAACAUAUAAUCCGUCAGAAAUAAGUGAUCUUUGGUGCUCUUUUGUAGUGUAAUAUUGGAUAUCUUUUUGUAAAACAUUCACAUUUAUGGUCAAUCUUGGAACAAAUCAUUUUGAUCAUCCUUAAAAGAGGAAACAAAAAAUAAGGACAAAGAAAAAUUGAGAUGAAGUGUCGAUAUUAUUUUAUUAUGUUAUAAAAAAUAGAAAUAAAGUUGACAAUAAAAUGAACAUUGCGAAUCUGGAAUGCUUUAUUUGUCCAUAUUGUUACAUUAUUUUGCAUUAAGUAUAAUGAAAAUAACUAAAACGCAAUAAUUAACUUCAUCAUUACAUGAAAUAAAUUGGAUUUUUGUAUUUCUUUCAA